UACGUAGGGGGCAAGCGUUAUCCGGAAUUAUUGGGCGUAAAGCGUCCGCAGGUGGCACCUCAAGUCUGCUGUCAAAGACCGGGGCUUAACCCCAGAAAGGCAGUGGAAACUGAAGUGCUAGAGUGCAGUAGGGGUAGAGGGAAUUCCCGGUGUAGCGGUGAAAUGCGUAGAGAUCGGGAAGAACAUCGGUGGCGAAAGCGCUCUGCUGGACUGCAACUGACACUCAGGGACGAAAGCUAGGGGAGCGAAUGGG
rnacentral:rRNA from 1 species